AUUGAACGCUGGCGGCAGGCCUAACACAUGCAAGUCGAGCGGAUGAAGGGAGCUUGCUCCUGGAUUCAGCGGCGGACGGGUGAGUAAUGCCUAGGAAUCUGCCUGGUAGUGGGGGAUAACGUCCGGAAACGGGCGCUAAUACCGCAUACGUCCUGAGGGAGAAAGUGGGGGAUCUUCGGACCUCACGCUAUCAGAUGAGCCUAGGUCGGAUUAGCUAGUUGGUGGGGUAAAGGCCUACCAAGGCGACGAUCCGUAGCUGGUCUGAGAGGAUGAUCAGUCACACUGGAACUGAGACACGGUCCAGACUCCUACGGGAGGCAGCAGUAGGGAAUAUUGGGCAAUGGGCGAAAGCCUGAUCCAGCCAUGCCGCGUGUGUGAAGAAGGUCUUCGGAUUGUAAAGCACUUUUAGUUGGGAGGAAGGACAGUGAGUUAAUACCUUGCUGUUUUGACGUUACCAACAGAAUAAGCACCGGCUAACUUCGUG
rnacentral:rRNA from 1 species